rnacentral:rRNA from 1 species
UACGUAGGGUGCGAGCGUUAAUCGGAAUUACUGGGCGUAAAGCGUGCGCAGGCGGUUUUGUAAGCCAGAUGUGAAAUCCCCGGGCUUAACCUGGGAAUGGCAUUUGGGACUGCAAGGCUCGAGUGCGGCAGAGGAGACUGGAAUUCCUGGUGUAGCAGUGAAAUGCGUAGAUAUCAGGAGGAACACCAGUGGCGAAGGCGACUACCUGGCCUGUUCUUGACGCUGAGGCGCGAAAGCUAGGGGAGCAAACGGG